rfam:Triticum aestivum genome assembly, contig: Triticum_aestivum_CS42_TGACv1_scaffold_471044_6AL
AGCGAAAUGAGGAGGCGAAAUCAUCUGAAUUUAUGCUGUUGAUAUUACCUGCAUGGUCUUCAAAGUUCUCUGAUCGCU